UUUCCCAGGAGCCAUAGCCAGAGGAGAAGUUGGCAGAUGUGGACAUGAUGAAACUGAACAUCCUUCUGAGCAGACACGAUCAGUCCUCGGCUUUCUGCUUCCCGCAUAACUGGCUAGGAAUCAUCCAGGAGCCCUCGAUGGGCAAGAAUAUGCAGAAGUGGACCUGAGCAGCCUGGACAUCCUUCUAAGGAGACAUGAAUAGUCGUCAUCUUUCUGCCUUCUGCAUACCUGGCUGUGAGUAAAUGAGUCUCCUGCACUCAUGCAAUGGAAAUCAAGUGAGAGCAAGAGGACCUCGAGAAUUAUUAAUGCCACGAAAAAGCUGUCCCACUGGGAACAGAAUAGCCGCCACUCUCAAUGAGAUAAGUGUCUGUUUUGG